rnacentral:rRNA from 1 species
AACGAACGCUGGCGGCAUGCCUAACACAUGCAAGUCGAACGAGACCUUCGGGUCUAGUGGCGCACGGGUGCGUAACGCGUGGGAACCUGCCCUUAGGUUCGGAAUAACUCCCCGAAAGGGGUGCUAAUACCGGAUAAUGUCUUCGGACCAAAGAUUUAUCGCCUUUGGAUGGGCCCGCGUUGGAUUAGCUAGUUGGUAGGGUAAAAGCCUACCAAGGCGACGAUCCAUAGCUGGUCUGAGAGGAUGAUCAGCCACACUGGGACUGAGACACGGACCAGACUCCUACGGGAGGCAGCAGUGGGGAAUAUUGGACAAGGGGCGAAAGACUGAUCCAGCAAUGCCGCGUGAGUGAUGAAGGCCUUAGGGUUGUAAAGCUCUUUUACCCGGGAUGAUAAUGACAGUACCGGGAGAAUAAGCACCGGCUAACUCCGUG